rnacentral:rRNA from 1 species
AGCGAACGCUGGCGGCAGGCUUAACACAUGCCAGUCGAGCGCCCCGCCAGGGGAGCGGCAGACGGGAGAGUAACACGUGGGAACAUACCUUUUGGUUCGGAACAACUGAGGGAAACUUCAGCUACUACCGGAUAAGCCCUUACGGGGAAAGAUUUAUCGCCGAAGGAUUGGCCCGCGUCUGAUUAGCUAGUUGGUGAGGUAACGGCUCACCAAGGCGACGAUCAGUAGCUGGUCUGAGAGGAUGAUCAGCCUCACUGGGACUGAGACACGGCCCAGACUCCUACGGGAGGCAGCAGUGGGGAAUAUUGGACAAUGGGGGCAACCCUGAUCCAGCCAUGCCGCGUGAGUGAUGAAGGCCUUAGGGUUGUAAAGCUCUUUUGCCCGGGAAGAUAAUGACGGUACCGGGAGAAUAAGCCCCGGCUAACUUCGUG